rnacentral:misc_RNA from 1 species
UUUUGGGUUCUUUUUUUUUCCCCCCUUCAUGUUAGACUUAGAUGGACUAUCAUUGCUUAGCAAACAAAUAUAUAGAAGCUUUUAAAGUGGCAAAAAGAGCAUUAUUUUGCCUCAACCACAAAUUAUGGUGCCUCUUAAAAUUCAAACACUUCUAGUGAAAAAAAAGGAAGUAAUUUAUUCUCAAUUCAUGUCUUUUCUCUCAUUUAUGUUAGUCUCUGUUGCAAUUAAUUUGCAAAGUUUAAGUUCUUGUGAGUGUAGAUGAAAGUUUUGAUAGAUGAUUUUGCUGAAAUUGAUGCUCUUUGUCCUAAUUUUUUUUUCCACUAGGACUCAUUCUUCUAAUAGAAGAAUGUUACAAUUAGGAAAUUGCUAACAUUUACCAUGCACUCAUGGAAACUAUUUGAAUAAUAUUACUUGGGAUGGUUUGGAAGUAAUAAGUUGUGUCCACAACUGGAUCCAAG